GUAGGUGACAAGCGUUGUCCGGAUUUACUGGGCGUAAAGAGCGCGCAGGCGGUCGAUCAAGUCGAGUGUGAAAGCCCCCGGCUCAACUGGGGAGGGUCAUUCGAAACUGGUCGACUCGAAGGCAGGAGAGGGUAGUGGAAUUCCCGGUGUAGUGGUGAAAUGCGUAGAUAUCGGGAGGAACACCAGUGGCGAAGGCGACUACCUGGCCUGUUCUUGACGCUGAGGCGCGAAAGCUAGGGGAGCAAACGGGAUUAGAUACCCCGGUAGUCCUAGCCGUAAACGAUGGACACUAGGUGUUGGUGGUAUCAACCCCGCCAGUGCCGAAGCUAACGCAUUAAGUGUCCCGCCUGGGGAGUACGGCCGCAAGGCUA
rnacentral:rRNA from 1 species